UGGGGAAUAUUGGACAAUGGGCGAAAGCCUGAUCCAGCCAUGCCGCGUGUGUGAAGAAGGUCUUCGGAUUGUAAAGCACUUUAAGUUGGGAGGAAGGGCAGUAAGCGAAUACCUUGCUGUUUUGACGUUACCGACAGAAUAAGCACCGGCUAACUCUGUGCCAGCAGCCGCGGUAAUACAGAGGGUGCAAGCGUUAAUCGGAAUUACUGGGCGUAAAGCGCGCGUAGGUGGUUCGUUAAGUUGAAUGUGAAAGCCCCGGGCUCAACCUGGGAACUGCAUCCAAAACUGGCGAGCUAGAGUAGGGCAGAGGGUGGUGGAAUGUCCUGUGUAGCGGUGAAAUGCGUAGAUAUAGGAAGGAACACGAGUGGCGAAGGCGACCAACUGGGCACAUACUGACACUGAGGUGCGAAAGCGUGGAGAGCAAACAGG
rnacentral:rRNA from 1 species